rnacentral:rRNA from 1 species
CGCAACACGUACACAACCUUCCUUUCAGCGGGGGAUAGCCCAGAGAAAUUUGGAUUAAUACCCCAUAGGAUAUAGGUGAGGCAUCUUACCGAUAUUAAAGAUUUAUUACUGAAAGAUGGGUGUGCGUCUGAUUAGGUAGUUGGUGCGGGUAACGGCCCACCAAGCCAUCGAUCAGUAACUGGUGUGAGAGCACGACCAGUCACACGGGCACUGAGACACGGGCCCG